CAGCAGCCGCGGUAAAACGUAGGGUGCAAGCGUUAAUCGGAAUUACUGGGCGUAAAGCGUGCGCAGGCGGUUAUAUAAGUCAGAUGUGAAAUCCCCGGGCUCAACCUGGGAACUGCAUUUGAGACUGUAUGGCUAGAGUGUGUCAGAGGGGGGUAGAAUUCCAGGUGUAGCGGUGAAAUGCGUAGAGAUCUGGAGGAAUACCGGUGGCGAAGGCGGCCCCCUGGACAAAGACUGACGCUCAGGUGCGAAAGCGUGGGGAGCAAACAGGAUUAGAUACCCGCGUAGUCCCUGUCUCUUAUAA
rnacentral:rRNA from 1 species